AUUGAACGCUGGCGGCAGGCCUAACACAUGCAAGUCGAGCGGUAGCACAGAGAGCUUGCUCUCGGGUGACGAGCGGCGGACGGGUGAGUAAUGUCUGGGAAACUGCCUGAUGGAGGGGGAUAACUACUGGAAACGGUAGCUAAUACCGCAUAACGUCGCAAGACCAAAGUGGGGGACCUUCGGGCCUCAUGCCAUCAGAUGUGCCCAGAUGGGAUUAGCUAGUAGGUGGGGUAACGGCUCACCUAGGCGACGAUCCCUAGCUGGUCUGAGAGGAUGACCAGCCACACUGGAACUGAGACACGGUCCAGACUCCUACGGGAGGCAGCAGUGGGGAAUAUUGCACAAUGGGCGCAAGCCUGAUGCAGCCAUGCCGCGUGUGUGAAGAAGGCCUUCGGGUUGUAAAGCACUUUCAGCGGGGAGGAAGGCGUUAAGGUUAAUAACCUUGGCGAUUGACGUUACCCGCAGAAGAGGCACCGGCUAACUCCGUGCCAGCAGCCGCGGUAAUACGGAGGGUGCAAGCGUUAAUCGGAAUUACUGGGCGUAAAGCGCACGCAGGCGGUCUGUCAAGUCGGAUGUGAAAUCCCCGGGCUCAACCUGGGAACUGCAUUCGAAACUGGCAGGCUAGAGUCUUGUAGAGGGGGGUAGAAUUCCAGGUGUAGCGGUGAAAUGCGUAGAGAUCUGGAGGAAUACCGGUGGCGAAGGCGGCCCCCUGGACAAAGACUGACGCUCAGGUGCGAAAGCGUGGGGAGCAAACAGGAUUAGAUACCCUGGUAGUCCACGCCGUAAACGAUGUCGAUUUGGAGGUUGUGCCCUUGAGGCGUGGCUUCCGGAGCUAACGCGUUAAAUCGACCGCCUGGGGAGUACGGCCGCAAGGUUAAAACUCAAAUGAAUUGACGGGGGCCCGCACAAGCGGUGGAGCAUGUGGUUUAAUUCGAUGCAACGCGAAGAACCUUACCUGGUCUUGACAUCCACAGAACUUUCCAGAGAUGGAUUGGUGCCUUCGGGAACUGUGAGACAGGUGCUGCAUGGCUGUCGUCAGCUCGUGUUGUGAAAUGUUGGGUUAAGUCCCGCAACGAGCGCAACCCUUAUCCUUUGUUGCCAGCGGUUCGGCCGGGAACUCAAAGGAGACUGCCAGUGAUAAACUGGAGGAAGGUGGGGAUGACGUCAAGUCAUCAUGGCCCUUACGACCAGGGCUACACACGUGCUACAAUGGCAUAUACAAAGAGAAGCGACCUCGCGAGAGCAAGCGGACCUCAUAAAGUAUGUCGUAGUCCGGAUUGGAGUCUGCAACUCGACUCCAUGAAGUCGGAAUCGCUAGUAAUCGUAGAUCAGAAUGCUACGGUGAAUACGUUCCCGGGCCUUGUACACACCGCCCGUCACACCAUGGGAGUGGGUUGCAAAAGAAGUAGGUAGCUUAACCUUCGGGAGGGCGCUUACCACUUUGUGAUUCAUGACUGGGGUGA
rnacentral:rRNA from 1 species